rnacentral:antisense_RNA from 1 species
CGGGGGCCCAGGGUGGAGAGCGCGAGGGCCUGGCCCAGGCACGGCCGGCGCCUCCGCCCUCGAGGAGGGCGUCACCUCAGCUCCCCCCGGCGGCGGAGCCGGCGGGCUCAGGCGGGCGCGGCUGAGGGGAGCGGACCGCGGGGGGCGGGAUGACUGCGCCCAAGGCCUUUGCGGGCCUCAGCCGGCCCCAGAGGAAGGGAAACCCGUCGAGCGGUUUGGUGCGUGUGAAGCGCGACAUGGCGAGGAAGCGGACAAGCCCGGGUGGCCCGGCGUGUAGAGGGAAGGGGGCGGGGCUAGACGCGGCCUGGACAACUACUAGAGCGCCUCGGGCUGUGCUGCUCGAGACUACAUUUCCCAGGGCGACCCGCGCGGAGCGGGCGGGAAAGAGAGCGUUUCGGGUCCAGUGCGCAGGUGCGAAAGCCAUCUUUGGUUAUAUAAGGGAGGUUCAGGAAGCCAUUCGUCCUUUCGCGUCUGCGGCUCGGAGUGUGGUGCUUCUGCUGGUUGCAGUCAGGCUUCAUACGCUAUUGUCCUGCCCGUUAGAGCAGCCAGCGGGUACAGAAUGGAUUUUGGAAGAGGGAGUCACCACUGGACCUCCAAGGAAGCCACGUGCAGACGUCUACAACCUUCGAUCUCCUGACGAAAACUGGCGAUGGAAUAUGAGAGGAGCCCUCUGGAAAGAAAAGGACAGACCCUGUGCUUUCAUGAAAGUGAAGAUCUGGCUGAACCAGUUCCACAAGGUUACUGUAUACAUAGCCUGAGUUUAAAAGGCUGUGCCCACUUCAAGAAUGUCAUUGUUAGACUUUGGUGAAAUUUCUAACUGCCUACCUGGCUAAAGAAAAUAAAAUCUUUUAAAUCAAAA